GAGCGCUGCCAUGCCCCAGAUUGUCCGUUGCACUGCCUGCGGGUCCACAAAUGACACAAAUAGGUAUAAGCCUGGAGGCGAGUAUUAUGCGCUUUAAUCCAGAGUGAUCUAUAUAUAUAGCAGUAGUGGUGGGGGGACUUUCGAUAUGGGGGCGCAUCCUCUUCAGUUACACAGCUUGGGGGAGGGAAGUUUGAGGUUGGAGGGCGGAACUAACAAGUAAAUUGUCCUGUGUCUGUCCGCGAGGGUCGCGCCUGGCUGGGGUGGAUAAGUCCAAACGCGAAAGGGAGAGUCGCAGCCGGUGUGAUGACGGGUGGGAGUGGUUUCGGUUGGUUGGUUGCUGUUCUGUUUGGAUAUGCCUUUUCCGACAUGGAAGCUGAUCAUUUAGCAUUCGACAUUGCAGUAAACUUUCAUUCAGUUUCAGUUGUCUUGCGUUUGGGAGCAUCAUGUGCGAGGCUGUCAUACCUAUUUUGUCACUGGACUCAUUCGGUUGGUGCGCGCGUGCUUGCGUCGAUUGUCGCGGCUGGGCUGGACGGACAGUGUGGAGGUUGGAAGGGUCCGGUUGGAAUGUCAACCAGAUUUUCUGGUGUAUAAUUGUUUUUGUAAAUGUUUUGAAUUUUUCUGUCGAUGGUUGGUGCUCUUUAUUGGUCAUUGGUGGAGUGCUAAUGGCUCUCAUUAGUGCUCUACUGGUGAUUGAGUGGUGCACUGGUGGUUGGUGCUCUACAUUGGUACUCUUUGGCGUGCCGCAGUGCAAUAAAGUCUGGUUGCUGCGACAGCCGGAACUUGGGACAGUCUUGGU
rnacentral:lncRNA from 1 species